rnacentral:rRNA from 1 species
CUGGGUUUGACAUGCACAGGACGCCGGUAGAGAUAUCGGUUCCCUUGUGGCCUGUGUGCAGGUGGUGCAUGGCUGUCGUCAGCUCGUGUCGUGAGAUGUUGGGUUAAGUCCCGCAACGAGCGCAACCCUUGUCUCAUGUUGCCAGCGCGUUAUGGCGGGGACUCGUGAGAGACUGCCGGGGUCAACUCGGAGGAAGGUGGGGAUGACGUCAAGUCAUCAUGCCCCUUAUGUCCAGGGCUUCACACAUGCUACAAUGGCCGGUACAAAGGGCUGCGAUGCCGUGAGGCUUAGCGAAUCCUUGAAAGCCGGUCUCAGUUCGGAUCGGGGUCUGCAACUCGACCCCGUGAAGUCGGAGUCGCUAGUAAUCGCAGAUCAGCAACGCCGCGGUGAAUACGUUCCC